UACGUAGGAGGCGAGCGUUGUCCGGAUUUACUGGGCGUAAAGCGCGCGCAGGCGGCAUGUCAAGUAAGGUGUGAAAUCUCCCUGCUCAACGGGGAGGGUGCAUUUUAGACUGGCAAGCUAGAGGACGGUAGAGGGGGGUAGAAUUGCUGGUGUAGCGGUGAAAUGCGUAGAGAUCAGCAGGAAUACCCGUGGCGAAGGCGGCCCCCUGGGCCGAACCUGACGCUGAGGCGCGAAGGCUAGGGGAGCGAACGGG
rnacentral:rRNA from 1 species